CACCGAGCAUUACAAACUGUCCAUCUGAUAAGAUCGUCGAGCAUGCCGGUACCGGAGAAUCGGCGACUGUGACCUGGCCUGAGCUGCAGACCUCUGGUUUUUCUGUGACGCCGAAGAUCUUCACUUCUAAAGAGUCGGGGUCUUCGUUUCCAGUCGGUGACACGACUGUUGUUGCUACAGCCUUCGCAAUCCCAGAGACUGCUGUCUGUACAUUCACAGUUGAAGUCACGACUGACAAACCAACUAUUUUGAACUGCCCCGAAAACAUCGAGGGAACCCUCCCGUCUGGACAAACUAAGGUCGCCGUUGGUUGGACGCCUCCUACGGCCACAUUUCCUCUUGGGCAGCUCUUCUUUGCUCCAAAUUUGAAUCCUGGGACCGAGUUUAGUGUUGGGAGUUCAACUGUAGUGUACACAGCAGUUGACGCUCAAGGAAACUCAGCUGUAUGCACCUUUACCGUAACCAUCGCGGCUUAAAACAACAGUACGGGUAACAGGACUUGUUCCAUUAUUCUUGGAGUUUAUUGCAUCAUCAUUAUACAUCAAUCAUCAUCUUCAUCACGUCGACCUGCGCACCAUAUAGGUGUCACGCGCGUAAAACAUUCCCCAUAGAC